rnacentral:rRNA from 1 species
GACGAACGCUGGCGGCGUGCUUAACACAUGCAAGUCGAACGGAAAGGCCCUGCUUUUGUGGGGUGCUCGAGUGGCGAACGGGUGAGUAACACGUGAGUAACCUGCCCUUGACUUUGGGAUAACUUCAGGAAACUGGGGCUAAUACCGGAUAGGAGCUCCUGCUGCAUGGUGGGGGUUGGAAAGUUUCGGCGGUUGGGGAUGGACUCGCGGCUUAUCAGCUUGUUGGUGGGGUAGUGGCUUACCAAGGCUUUGACGGGUAGCCGGCCUGAGAGGGUGACCGGCCACAUGGGGACUGAGAGACGGCCCAGACGCCUACGGGAGGCAGCAGGGGGGAGUAUUGCACAAUGGGCGGAAGCCUGAUGCAGCAACGCCGCGUGCGGGAUGACGGCCUUCGGGUUGUAAACCGCUUUCGCCUGUGACGAAGCGUGAGUGACGGUAAUGGGUAAAGAAGCACCGGCUAACUACGUG